UCCGUUGGGGAGAGAAAGGGUCCACAGAGGAGGGUGCACGGCUAGAGAAGGCCAAGAAUGCAGUGGUGUCAAUACAAGAGGAGACAGAAGAACCCAUGAUCAAAAAGUCACCCACAUCCCCUCACACAUACCAUCAAUCUGAAUCCAAGUGGUAUACUCCAAUCAGGGGACGACUUCAGGCACUGUGGGCUCUUCUGCGGCGACAAUAUGACCGAGUUUCACUCAUGCGCCCAACUACCGCAGAUAAGGGGCGCUGUAUAAAUUUCAAUCGGGUGCAGCAUCAACAGACGACAGCAUCCCAUCUCUGAAAUACUUUGACUUCCAAGUAAAUCAGAUGGAACAACAGAAAAAAGCGCAAUUUCCUUGAGAUGACAUAGCUUAUCAUUGGCCACUUUAGAGUAUCUUGUUUCAGCUCUUACAAGUAUUGGCUUUCCAAAACGUAUAAUUUUGAUAUCUCUCAAGCUACUGAAUGGCAACCGGACGACUAAAUAGAUUAACAAAAAAAACUGUCUGAUUUUGCAGCUGAUCUGGUUAGCUUUAAUGCACAGUAAAGGCUUUUUCGUGUUCUGACCAUAUUGGGCCUUCUGCGAAAAAAAAACAAAAAACCGAAUCUUAUGGACACAGACGGAGGCUAUUUAAAAAAAAAUAAAAA